AGAACUCAUAGGUAGGGGCAUCUUUCCCCGAGAAAAAGUUAGCUGGUAAGAUCCCCGGUUUGAUUAAUUCGUCUGUGAGGUCUUCAUCGAAUCGGCCAGUGGUUGAGUCAAAACAGGAGGGGAGCUCAAAGAUCGGGUCAUCCCUCUGAUAGGGGAACUAACUGGUCGCGUCUUCGCUGAACCCGUUAUAAAAACACCUGAAGUAUUCGGCCACCUUGGUAACCGAUGCUGCUUUGCCAAAAGAUGUACAUCGGCGUCGGACAGUGGGGUUCUCUGCUGAUUCGAUGUUAGGGAAUGUCAUGAGCUCCACUCGCUGCUGAGAGAUCUUGCUCAUAUACA
rnacentral:lncRNA from 1 species